GUCCAAAUGCAAUAGCAAUAAAAAUCACUGUUUAGUUGGUAGAUAUACCCCAAAACAUGCAUGAAUUUAAAUAUAAUUUUGUGUGAGUGUGUGUAUAUAAAUAUAGAGAGAGUUCAAGUAGAGAUUGUAGCCGUAUUAGUCCAGUGAUGUAGAUGUAAAAAAACAGGUCAAAUUUGGAUCUUGUAAUACCUUUUUUAUUGGACUAACCAAAUUUUUUAAUGACAUACUUUCGGGAAAGUACCUCCCUUUCUCAAGUCUAAAGCAUUUCUGAGCAAGACGACACAUAGAAUUCAAAGUUGAGUUGUGAUACAUGGGUUAAAGCGACAUGAGUGCAGAUAAGACACAGGUUUGAUAUAAAAUAGACACCAUUCUCACAGAGGGUCGUAAAUAUCUUGUGUGAAGAUCACAGAGUGAGGGAGGAGAGAGAGAAAAAAAACAAGCAGAUGGUGCUAGAAGGGGAGAGUAAAAACAAAAUAAUUACUUAUAUUAAGAAUGCUUGAAAUCCCAUCCAAUUAACAGGAUUUGCAUGAAGGCCUAUAUCCAGCAUACACAGACAAACACACACAUGUACAUAUACACAACUGUAUAUGUACAAGUAUACACAAGUACAUACACAAUAU